rnacentral:ribozyme from 1 species
UACCCAACAACUCCUAUCCCUACCUCUUAGUGGUACGGGCUGGAAACUACGAACAACCUUAGGAAAGUUCGGGCACCUAACGCCGGUGGGAACUUUGGUCGUAAGCUGACAGGGAAGG